AUUUUGCCUUUUUGCAUUUCUUUUUCUUGGGGAUGAUCUUGAUCACUGCCUCCUGUACAAUGUCACGAAUCUCCAUCCAUAGUUCUUCAGGUACUCUAUCCGAUCUAAUCCCUUGAAUCUGUCAUUUUCACUGUAUAAUCAUUAGGGAUUUGAUUUAGGCAAUGACACCCUACUCCAGUACUCUUGCCUGGAAAAUCCCAGAGACAGAGCAGCCUGGUAAGCUACAGUCCAUGAGGUCGCUAAGAGUUGGACACGACUAAGUGACUUCACUUUCACUUUUCACUUUCAUGCAUUGGAGAAGGAAAUGGCAACCCACUCCAGUGUUCUUGCCUGGAAAAUCCCAGGGAUGGGGGAGCCUGGUGGGAGGCCGUCUAUGGAGUUGCACAGAGUCGGACACGACUCAAGCGACUUAGGAGCAUACCUGAAUGGUCUAGUGGUUUUCCUUACUUUCUUCAAUUUAAGUCUGAAUUUGGCUCUCAGUCAGCUCUCGGUCUUGUCUUUGCUGACUAUAUAGAGCUUCUCCAUCUUUGGUUGCAAAGAAUAUAAUCUGAUUUCGGUGUUGACCAUCUGGUGCUGUCCAUGUGUUGUUGGAAGAGGGUGUUUGCUAUGACCAGUGCAUUUUCUUGGCAAAACCCUAUUAGCCUUUGCCCUGCUUCAUUCUGUACUCCAAGGCCAAAUUUGCCUGUUACUCCAGGUAUCUUUUGACUUCCUACUUUUGCGUUCUAGUUCCCUAUAAUGAAAAGGACAUCUUUUUUGGGUGUUAUAGAAGGUCCUGUAAGUCUUCAUAGAACGAUCAACUUCAGCUUCUUCAGCAUUACUGGUCGGGGCAUAGACUUGGAUUACAGUGAUAUAGAAUGGUUUGCCUUAGAAAUGAACAGAGAUCAUUCUGUCAUUUUUGAGAUUGCAUCCAAGUACCAUAUUUUGGACUCUUGUUGACUGUGAUGGCUACUCCAUUUCUUCUAAGGGAUUCCUGCCCACAGUAGUAGAUAUAAUGGUCAUCUUAGUUAAAUUCACCCAUUCCAGUCCAUUUUAGUUCACUCAUUCCUAAAAUGUCGAUGUUCACUCUUGGAAUCUCCUGUUUGACCACUUCAAUUUGCCUUGGUUCAUAGACCUAACAUUCCAGGUUCCUAUGCAAUAUUGCUCUUUACAGCAUUGAACUUUACUUCCAUCACGCAUCACAUCCACAACUGGGUGCUGUUUUUGCUUUGGCCAUGUCUCUUCAUUCUUUCUGGAGUUAUUUCUCCACUCUUCUCCAUUAGCAUAUUGGGCACCUAACGACCUGGGGAGUUCAUCUUUCAAUGUCAUACCUUUUUGCCUUUUCAUAUUGCUCAUGGGGUUCUCAAGGCAAGAAUACUGAAGUAGUUUGCCAUUCCUUUCUUCGGUGGACCACAUUUUGUCAAAACUCUACAUCGUGACCUGUACGUCUUGGGUGGGUCUACAAGACAUGGUUCAUAGUUUCAUUGAGCUAGACAAGGCUGUGGUCCAUGUGAUCAGUUUGGUUAGUUUUCUGUGAUUGUGGUUUUCAUUCUGUCUGCCCUCUGAUGGAUAAGAAUAAGAGGCUUGUGGAAGCUUCUUGAUGGGAGACACUGACUGAGGGGGAAACUGGGUCUUGUUCUGAUGGGCGGAGCCCUGUUCAGUAAAUCUUUAAUCCAAUUUUCUAUUGAUGGGUGGGGCUGUGUUCUCUCCCUGUUGCUUGACCUGAGGCCAAACGAUGGUGGAGGUAAUGAAGAUAAUAGUGACCUCCUUCAAAAGGUCCCAUGGACACACUGCUGCACUCGGUGCCUCUGACUCUGAAGCAGGCCACCACCGACCCAUGCCUCCCCUGGAUACUCCUGGACACUCACGGGCAAGUCUGGGUCAGUUUCCUGUGAGGGUCACUGCUUCUUUCUCCUGGGUCCUGGUACUCAAAGUUCUGUUUGUGCCCUCCAAGAGUAUUUCCCCAGUCCUUAGAAUGUGGUGCCUUUCUGGGUGCCUGAUAUCCUCCGCCAGUGUUCAGAAGUUGUUUUGUGGAAGUUGCUCAGCAUUCAAAUGAUCUUUUGAUGAAUUUGUGCGGGAGAAAGUGGUCUCCCCAUCCUAUUCCUUUGCAUCUUGAAGCAGCAAGCAAGAAUACACAGAAGAACUAUACAAAAAAGAUCAUGACCCACAUAACCACGAUGGUUUGAUCACUCACCUGGAGCUAGACAUCCUGGAAUGCGAAGUCAAGUGGGCCUUAGGAAGCAUCACUCUGAACAAAGCUAGUGGAGGUGAUGGAAUUCCAGUUGAGCUACUUCAGAUCUUAAAAGAUGAUACUGUGAAAGUGCUGCACUCAAUAUGCCAGCAAAU
ensembl:lncRNA